GAAGCAUAUCCCUUUUACUUCCAGCUAUUAUCUGUCAAGGAAAUCGACUAUAGGACUGAGCACAGUACUGAGGUGGCCUCCUCCAGUGAGAUCCAGGACUCCUCCUACAGGUGACUUUUACUGGAUGACUGCCAUCAACCCCGCUGAAACUUUUUUGGAACUCUGCUGGAGUUAAAAACUCCUCCUACCCAGUUAUUCUCCAUUACCUUUCUCCUUCCACAGAUGGCCUCCAUCAGUCUUCUCAAUUUGAAGUGAGGGGAGCAUUGGAUAUGACGAAGCUAAUUACAUGUGAUGGAAGGACCUAUAAAAGGCAGGAGUCAGGUGGGAUAUUGCUAUUUAAGACAAAGAAAGAAGACGUUUAAAACUGUUUUGUUAAGCCCAGACGCUUGACAGAUUAAGAGGCUACAAUCUCUUUCCACAAUCAGUA
rnacentral:lncRNA from 10 species